rnacentral:snRNA from 13 species
AUACUUACCUAAUAUUAGGAACUCCGUGAUCAGGAAGACGGAGACCCUAGGAGGAGGCCCCUCCAUUGCACUUCGGAAAAGCUAAAUCCGAGAUCAGGAAGGCGGAGACCCCAGGAGGAGGCCCUUCCAUUGCAUUUCGGAAAAGCUGAGACCCUGCCACUCCCCUAAACUGGGAAAGGUGAGGCAUGUGAUUUUUGGUAGAUUUUGUUAAUUUAUCAUACGAAU